rnacentral:snoRNA from 1 species
AUGCAUCACCGACAGCCCUGGAUCAGUUUAAUGUCUGCUGCAGUUUCCACUGUAAAUGCAAGAAGAAAGUCCUGGCACUUUCUUUCUGUCUGGUUGUGGCAGCCAAGAUUGAAUGGGGGAAGAGAGGA